rnacentral:rRNA from 1 species
AUUGAACGCUGGCGGAAUGCUUUACACAUGCAAGUCGAACGGCAGCACGGACUUCGGUCUGGUGGCGAGUGGCGAACGGGUGAGUAAUGUAUCGGAACGUGCCCAGUCGUGGGGGAUAACGUAGUGAAAAUUACGCUAAUACCGCAUACGAUCUAUGGAUGAAAGCGGGGGAUCGCAAGACCUCGCGCGAUUGGAGCGGCUGAUAUCAGAUUAGGUAGUUGGUGGGGUAAAGGCCCACCAAGCCAACGAUCUGUAGCUGGUCUGAGAGGACGACCAGCCACACUGGAGCUGAGACACGGUCCAGACUCCUACGGGAGGCAGCAGUGGGGAAUUUUGGACAAUGGGCGAAAGCCUGAUCCAGCCAUUCCGCGUGCAGGAUGAAGGCCGUCGGGUUGUAAACUGCUUUUGUACAGAACGAAAAGGUUUCUACUAAUACUAGGAGCUCAUGACGGUACUGUAAGAGUAAGCACCGGCUAACUACGUGCCAGCCGCCGCCGUAA